AGAAGAAUGCUCCCAAAUUCAAACCUAAAAAACCAAAUGUCAAAAAGCCAACACUUAAGCCAAAAACUAUUAACAAAAUGUUGUUGGCUGCAAGUGCAAAAGCAAAGAAACCAAAGAAAGAAGUUUUGUCUCUUGGUGAAGAUGAUAUUCUCAGUGGUCUCCUAAAAGAGGCUGAG